UCUUCAUUCUUCGCAUUAUCUCACCGGUCAGAGAGGCGAAAGAGUGCGCGAAAUGAAGAGA
rnacentral:pre_miRNA from 1 species